AGGAAGGCGAUAGGUCCCGUUGAGCUUUGUACCAUUCUCAGGAGGGUGAAAUAUUGGUUUGUCGAGCAAGUCUGGGUAGCACCCAACCAGAAAGCCUUGGUCAGCACCAUCAGAGUUUUCACGGCCAAUAUCCAGGUCAUGAAGCAUGCCCUUGAAUACAUCCAUAGAAGGCUGCGGAUUGAAGAUGAAUCCAAGGGAGAUUGGUUCAAUUCAGGAUCCAUACUGUUACUAGACUGAAAAGCAUCUCGAAUGACAUAGCUAAGCCAACAAGCCCAGACUAUUUCAUGCAGAAUACUGCAAAUUUUGGCUAUAUAUUGGACAGGUGACAGGUGGAACAGCAAAAGUUGGGGUCAUACCUGGAGAACGAAAAGACCAGUGUGGAAGUAGCACGGGUUGAUGAAAACAGCGCAGAACUGCCCACACUGGAACAGCUCGUCGGUGUUCUGGAGGAAGAUGUUAUCGGAAUCAAUCAUGACGACACGCUCGUAGUCAACCAGGGUCCACGCGUAAAGCUUGUUCAGCGUCAGCUUGAACCUCCUGUUGAUCCCUCCUAGAUUGCUCUCGUAAGGAUUCCUGAGGUUCUCCACUAUCACCACCCUCAUACCAUCCUCCUCUGUCCUGCAUUCGUUCCCAUUUAUCGUCAAUAUCUGUUCAUUUCACAUUUUGCAGUAAAAAGAAACUACUGGAGCAUUGAAACAGUUAAUUUCCUACGGAUGUAAAAUAGGCACAGGAGGUUCCGUUGACCAUUUUGAAAUGAUUAAGCCAUGACUGGGAGGGGAGUGUCACCGAUUCAUUUGUGGUUGACUUAGAAAUAGCCAAUAAAAGACAUACUAGCUAGAAAAGAAAAAUCCUCUGUGCAAUCACCGUUUUCUUAAGAAGAAAGAGGAAGGUUACCAAUGUAAUUGGACAGCAGCUAAUUAACAAGUACAGGUUGGAAGCAGAGCCAGUAAGCCAAUAGUCAAGACUUCAUGGCCAGACAGCCAGGGCACUCAUGGCAGCAUAUUCUGUGAGGCAACUUAUGGCGGUGUUUGGUUUCUACAGUGAUUUUUUUGCGCACGUUUUUCGAGAAAAGAAUCUCGGAUGUAUGGAGUACUAAAUGAAGUUUAUUUGCAAAAUCUUUUCAGGGAUGAGUGUAACUUUUCGAGACAAAUAUAAUGACGGUAAUUAAUUGAUUAUUUGUUAUAGUGAUGCUA